CCUACGGGUGGCAGCAGUGAGGAAUAUUGGUCAAUGGGCGGAAGCCUGAACCAGCCAAGUCGCGUGAGGGAAUAAGGCCCUAAGGGUCGUAAACCUCUUUUGCCGGGGAGCAAGGGCUGGGACGUGUCCCCGCCCGGAGCGUACCCGGGAAAAAAGCAUCGGCUAACUCCGGGCCAGCAGCCGCGGUAAUACGGAGGAUGGGAGCGUUAUCCGGAUUUUUUGGGUUUAAAGGGUGCCAAGGCGGGCUUUUAAGUCAGCGGUAAAAAUUCGGGGCUCAACCCCGUCCGGCCGUUGAAACUGGGAGCCUGGAGUGGGCGAGAAGAAGGCGGAAUGCGUGGUGUAGCGGUGAAAUGCAUAGAUAUCACGCAGAACCCCGAUUGCGAAGGCAGCCUUCCGGCGCCCUACUGACGCUGAGGCACGAAAGUGCGGGGAUCGAACAGGAUUAGAUACCCGUGUAGUC
rnacentral:rRNA from 1 species